UCCUGGUUUCCCAGGCAGUCCCACUAGAGUGCCUUGCUUGCGCAAGUAGCAACUAGUAGUAAGGGUUGCGCUCGUUAAAGGACUUAACCCAACAUCUCACGACACGAGCUGACGACAGCCAUGCAGCACCUGUUAUUGUGUCUAGGCCGAAACCUAAAAAACUGUAUUUCUACAGCUGUCACAACAAUGUCAAACCCAGGUAAGGUUCCUCGCGUACUGUCGAAUUAAACCACAUGUUCCACCGCUUGUGCGGACCCCCGUCAAUUCCUUUAAGUUUUAGUCUUGCGACCGUACUUCCCAGGCGAAUCACUUAACGCGUUAGCUACGACACUGAUCCGGCAAGCCGAACCAACAUCUAGUGAUCAUCGUUUACAGCGUGGACUAC
rnacentral:misc_RNA from 1 species